AUUUCAGUAUAGGGGGUGUGAGGAGAGAGGUACUUUGAAUGUGAGUAGCCUGUAUGUGUGUCCUAAUAACUCAGCUUUUGGAGUUAAAAGAUGGGAAGGUAUUUCUCUUCUUCUCCCCUGUCAUUUUUUUCAGGAUAUAUGCUCAGGUUCCACAGCUUUGAGAGGGCUGGAGUCUUUUGCACAAUGACAGCACCACUGAGUUCAGAACACAACACACACAGCAGAUUUCACUCAUUGAAUAUGGCCAAGAGUGAUCAACUUUUUCACAAUAACUUAUAAAUCCCACAUCUCAGAAAGGUGAUUCCAAAAGGAUACUGCAUAAUCUAUAGAUUCAUGGAUUGUCUAGACACACAUGUUGAAUUCCUGCCCUAUUGAAGUUAAUGAGAAUGACUGACUGAUUUCCCAGGAUUUUUUAAUAUGUGCACACAUUUAAUGGAGCUUCAGCUUUGUUUUUCCCUAUAGAAGGUAUGCAAAGCCAGGAAUUUAUAAGGAAUUUGUACUUCAAAAUAAUUACAAAAAUAUAUUGGAUUGUUAUAUGUCUCUUCUUCAGUAGAAACAUUCACUGUAAAAUAAGGUGUUUUUCUACCUCACAUAAAUGAUUUUUUUUGUUUUGGAAAAUAAUUCCAAGUGAAAUCAACAUAUAAAACUAAUGAAUUCUCACCAGUAAAUUUCCAAGGUUACUCAAGUUCAACACCACUAAUGGGCAAAAGCAGGACGUGAAAAUCUUGGAUUUUGCAACUAAAAUAAAUUAACAUAUAUUUAUUUAUAAAUGGCAAGAAGAACUUUUUAAUUUGUGAGUAACAUCAAAUGAAAUAAUAUAAUCCAUUUCUGCUUAUUCCUAUUGGGCGCAUCUAUGUGAGACACUAUGCCACUGUAGUGAUGAACUACAUCAUUGUAGUGCCUUGUUACAGUGACGUAGCUGCUAAAAAUA